CCAGAAUUCCCCUAGGCUGGUACAAGGUGGUGGGUGGUCGGUUAAUCAGUGUAGUUUUGGAUUUAGAAGCCCUAGCACGUACCCCUCCCUUCUCCUCUGUGAGACAGUGCAGCAGAUUACUGCUAUAAACUACAGUGAGGACUACAGAGUUACUCUCUGAAGCUGUUGCUUCCAUUUCUCUGUUCAUCUGGGCUUACAGUGGAAUUCGAAGGACUUGGUGUUUGAGAACAACUUGCAGUACACCCACCUUGAAGACUUAUCUCCCAGCUGGGGACACCUGCACUGAGCAAAGUGUCUUGUGAAACUCUCCAAAGCUGUUGGCCUUUUGUUAUCCCAGAGGUUCUCAGGGCACAAAUGAAGGACUGCAGACCAGGACCGUGACAGACUGGAGCAGAAACUGGUGAGACGGGACUUUAAACCUGCAUCACCUGGCCUUGGAAUCUCAUAUUGAGGUGCACCAUUCAGAGCAAGGGAACCGGUCGGAGAGGAACGACCCGCUGCUCCCUUGCAUGGGAAAAACUGUCAUCUUGGACCAAUUUCCUGACAUCGGCUUCACCAGCAUCGCCGCUGGAGUGGGAGAAGAGACGACAUUUCAUCCUAAGAGAUUGGGCUGCAAGAGAGAGCCUUGGGCUCCAUUUACAAAGUGAGGGAAGAGUUUUUGGCCAACUACGUCCAAACCUAUUUUCCUCACCUGUACGAAUGCCUCAGGGCUCGUUCCCUGCCGAGUUCUUCGUUCCCCGUCCUGUGCUUGUGUCAUCAUUGCUCUUCAGAUUUCUAAUUAAACAUAAGAAUAAGAAUAAUGGUAGCUGUUAAGCGUUUACU
rnacentral:lncRNA from 1 species